rnacentral:ncRNA from 1 species
CAGAGUAGAGCUACGAGCGUUAAGUGCCUGACGGACGGGGAGUUGCCGACGGGACGAAAAAGUAAAGGCGCAGACCUUUACCUUUGCGGUUCGUAACUCGCAUCCCGCUG